GCACUUAGGGGUUGAUCAGAGUGGUGCAACUAAAUAUCUAAUCGCGCGUCACUACAAUAGAAAUAGGUUAUAGGGACACAUGUUUGGGACACUUUUCAAUAAGUGUCCUAUUUAUACUAAAAUUUAAAAAACAUCUACUAAUGCCUAAAUAUAAAGCCCAAUCCAACCAAAAAUAAAAGAUUAUUCUACUCAACCCACCACACCCAGUCCAUUUGGCCCGAUUACAAACAGAAAAGAAAAAAAAAGAAAAAGAAAAAUNAUAGUUUUUUUUGAAAAAUUUUAUAGAAUGUGACCACUCUAUUUGAAAAUAUGACAAAAUUCACAAAUACAACUAUCAGCUUCAUAUUACCAAACAGUAAAAAUGUAACUGCAGCAGUUGCAACUGCGUAAAACCAAACAGACUAGGUGUAAUUACAACUGCAGCAUUUGCAACUGCAUGUAUUUCCAACUACACUGUUUCUACAACUACAUCCAACCAAACAGCCCCUUAGUGGUUGAUAAGAGUGGUGCAACUAAAUCUCUA
rnacentral:lncRNA from 1 species